UACGGAGGGUGCAAGCGUUAUCCGGAUUCACUGGGUUUAAAGGGUGCGUAGGUGGGCAGGUAAGUCAGUGUGAAAUCUCUGGGCUUAACCCGGAACUGCCGUUGAUACUAUCUGUCUUGAAUAUAGUGGAGGUGAGCGGAAUAUGUCAUGUAGCGGUGAAAUGCUUAGAUAUGACAUAGAACAUCGAUUGCGAAGGCAGCUCGCUACACUAUGAUUGACACUGAGGCACGGAAAGCGUGGGGAUCAAACAGG
rnacentral:rRNA from 1 species